GUCCGUGUCUUCAAGAGGCAUCGAUCGUAAAUUCGAUCAAAUCAAUCCAAACUGAUGGUUCUUAUUUAUGUAUGUGUCGUAGCUUGCGAUAAUUUUUGGAGCAUUCAAACGUCGGCGUCUUGUGAAAUUACAUCACUCGUCCCAAAUAAAGCAUCUGAAGACGAAAAAAAAUGCAUAAUUUGCGCAUAAAUUGUGUUUCGAGCUCCACUCUCGCCGCGUUCCGCGAUUUGAUCGGAAGCUCCUAAAGGGUACGGAUGCGGAUAUGUACAUCCGAUCAACUUGUUUCCGAAGCCGGCAAGAUAGCUACUUGAUUUUGAUCGACAAUUCGGCGUAUCUCACGAGUGAUAAUUCUGAGCAUGUGUCAUUACGCCGUGACACACAAAAGCAAGACGAAAGGCUUCAUAGCGGAAUCUUCAGAUUGACAUCUUGUCAUGAACAUGAAUUUGAAGCUAUAGCGAAGUGUCUUUACAUGAUCCAUAAACAACAUUUGCAAAUGAUUUCAGUUCGCAAAAAAUUAAUGUGAUUGAUCUUUGCAUUUGGAAAUUUAAAGUUGUAAUAAGCAGAGAAUCUUUCUACAUUCAACGAGUAGCAAUCGUGGAAUUUGAAGCUAUAGCGAAGUGUCUUUGCAUGUUCCACAAACAACAUUUGCAAAUGAUUGCAGUUCACAAAAAAAUAAUGUGAUUGUUCUUUGUAUUUGGAAAUUUAAAAUUGUAAGCAGAGAAUCUUUCUACAUUCAACGAGUAGCAGUUAUGAAAUAAUUGUGUGAUUAUUUGAGGCGAGACACAGAAUCGUGGUGCCAUUACUUCAAUACUUGAAUUUUCGACACUUUUUUGUUAUGGAUAAUGUCUACAAUACAUUGGUACAAAGCUUAUAAAAAUGCACCGAUGAUUAAGGAAAAUGGAUGAAGGUAAACGUUAGUUUUCCGGUUGCUCGUCACAUAAACAGAUUGAAUUGUGCUUUUUAUUGAUUUGUCUGGUUUUGCAACUACUGCUUGCAACUACUUUGCAAUUUUUAAACAUGUGUAACAAGUUUAUCGGGAGUGCCGUUUCGGUCGAUUGGCCAAAAAAGUAUCGCGCGUUUCGUGUUUGAAUAUGCGCGCGAGCAAUGCGUGCGAAUCGUAUCAAGUUAGUGUUUUUCGCGAACGCGUGUGAAAAUGUGCCAUGAAGGAUUAGGAAUAAGGAGGUCCAGAGAGGCAUCAGGCGACAAUGGAACAAUA